rnacentral:rRNA from 1 species
UACGGAGGGUGCAAGCGUUGCUCGGAAUUAUUGGGCGUAAAGGGUAGGUAGGUGGUCUUAUUUGUCUGGGGUGAAAGCCUUGAGCUUAACUCAAGAAGUGCCCCAGAAACGGUAAGACUCGAGUCCUGGAGAGGGUUGUGGAAUUCCCGGUGUAGCGGUGAAAUGCGUAGAGAUCGGGAGGAACACCAGAGGCGAAAGCGGCAACCUGGACAGGCACUGACACUCAACUACGAAAGCGUGGGGAGCAAACAGG